GUCAGUGUGGUGUAGUGAGUUGAGUGUCAGACUACAAAUUUGGAGACCAGGGUUCGAAUCCCUGCUCAGCCA